AAACUUUCAACAACGGAUCUCUUGGUUCUCGCAUCGAUGAAGAACGCAGCGAAUUGCGAUACGUAAUAUGACUUGCAGACGUGAAUCAUUGAAUCUUUGAACGCACAUUGCACUGGAGGGUAUUCCCUCCAGUAUACCAAGUUGAGCAUCUUUU
rnacentral:rRNA from 1 species